rnacentral:rRNA from 1 species
UGGGGGAUAACGUAGGGAAACUUACGCUAAUACCGCAUACGACCUUCGGGUGAAAGCAGGGGACCUUCGGGCCUUGCGCGGAUAGAUGAGCCGAUGUCGGAUUAGCUAGUUGGCGGGGUAAAGGCCCACCAAGGCGACGAUCCGUAGCUGGUCUGAGAGGAUGAUCAGCCACACUGGAACUGAGACACGGUCCAGACUCCUACGGGAGGCAGCAGUGGGGAAUAUUGGACAAUGGGCGCAAGCCUGAUCCAGCCAUACCGCGUGGGUGAAGAAGGCCUUCGGGUUGUAAAGCCCUUUUGUUGGGAAAGAAAAGCAAUCGAUUAAUACCCGGUUGUUCUGACGGUACCCAAAGAAUAAGCACCGGCUAACUUCGUGCCAGCAGCCGCGGUAAUACGAAGGGUGCAAGCGUUACUCGGAAUUACUGGGCGUAAAGCGUGCGUAGGUGGUUGUUUAAGUCUGUUGUGAAAGCCCUGGGCUCAACCUGGGAAUUGCAGUGGAUACUGGGCAACUAGAGUGUGGUAGAGGGUAGUGGAAUUCCCGGUGUAGCAGUGAAAUGCGUA